CGGGGUGUGGUGCAUCGGUAGCACAUUCGGUUCGGGACCGAAAGGCAGAGGGUUCAAUUCCCUCCACCCCGA
rnacentral:tRNA from 9 species